rnacentral:rRNA from 1 species
UACGGAGGGUGCAAGCGUUAUCCGGAUUUACUGGGUUUAAAGGGUGCGUAGGUGGGUCUGUAAGUCAGUGGUGAAAUCUCCGGGCUUAACCCGGAAACUGCCAUUGAUACUAUCUGUCUUGAAUACCGUGGAGGUCAGCGGAAUAUGUCAUGUAGCGGUGAAAUGCUUAGAUAUGACAUAGAACACCAAUUGCGAAGGCAGCUGGCUACACGAAUAUUGACGCUGAUGUACGAAAGCGUGGGGAUCAAACAGG